rnacentral:rRNA from 1 species
CGGGUGGUAAUGCCGGAUGCUCCGACUCCUCGCAUGGGGUGUCGGGAAAGAUUUCAUCGGUAUGGGAUGGGGUCGCGUCCUAUCAGGUAGUCGGCGGGGUAACGGCCCACCGAGCCUACGACGGGUAGCCGGCCUGAGAGGGCGACCGGCCACAUUGGGACUGAGAUACGGCCCAGACUCCUACGGGAGGCAGCAGUGGGGAAUAUUGCACAAUGGGCGCAAGCCUGAUGCAGCGACGCCGCGUGCGGGAUGACGGCCUUCGGGUUGUAAACCGCUUUUGAUCGGGAGCAAGCCUUCGGGUGAGUGUACCUUUCGAAUAAGCACCGGCUAACUACGUGCCAGCAGCCGCGGUAAUACGUAGGGUGCAAGCGUUAUCCGGAAUUAUUGGGCGUAAAGGGCUCGUAGGCGGUUCGUCGCGUCCGGUGUGAAAGUCCAUCGCUUAACGGUGGAUCUGCGCCGGGUACGGGCGGGCUGGAGUGCGGUAGGGGAGACUGGAAUUCCCGGUGUAACGGUGGAAUGUGUAGAUAUCGGAAAAAAAACACC